rnacentral:rRNA from 1 species
GACGAACGCUGGCGGCGUGCUUAACACAUGCAAGUCGAACGGUGAAGCGCCUUCCUUUUUGGUGGGUGUGGAUGAGUGGCGAACGGGUGAGUAACACGUGAGUAACCUGCCCCCUUCUUCUGGAUAACCGCAUGAAAGUGUGGCUAAUACGGGAUAUUCUCGGUCUGUCGCAUGAUGGGUCUGGGAAAGAUAUUGUUUCGGUGGGGGAUGGGCUCGCGUCCUAUCAGCUUGUUGGUGGGGUGAUGGCCUACCAAGGCGGUGACGGGUAGCCGGCCUGAGAGGGUGGGCGGUCACACAGGGACUAAGACACGGCGCAGACUCCUACGGGAGGCAGCAGUGGGGAAUAUUGCACAAUGGGCGCAAGCCUGAUGCAGCGACGCGGCGGGAGGGAUGGAGGCCUUCGGGUUGUGAACCUCUUUCGCCAGUGAAGCAGGCCUGCCUCGUUUGUGGGUGGGUUGACGGUAGCUGGAUAAGAAGCGCCGGCUAACUACGUG